rnacentral:rRNA from 1 species
GUGGGGAAUAUUGGACAAUGGGCGAAAGCCUGAUUCAGCCAUGCCGCGUGUGUGAAGAAGGUCUUCGGAUUGUAAAGCACUUUAAGUUGGGAGGAAGGGCAGUAAGUUAAUACCUUGCUGUUUUGACGUUACCGACAGAAUAAGCACCGGCUAACUACGUGCCAGCAGCCGCGGUAAUACGUAGGGUGCAAGCGUUAAUCGGAAUUACUGGGCGUAAAGCGUGCGCAGGCGGCUUUGUAAGACGGAGGUGAAAGCCCCGGGCGCAACCUGGGAAGUGCAUUCGUGACUGCAAGGCUAGAGUGUGUCAGAGGGAGGUGGAAUUCCGCGUGUAGCAGUGAAAUGCGUAGAGAUGCGGAGGAACACCGAUGGCGAAGGCAGCCUCCUGGGAUAACACUGACGCUCAGGCACGAAAGCGUGGGGAGCAAACAGGAUUAGAAACCCUGGUAGUCC